UGGUGCUGCGGGAACUGUCCCUUCAAACAUCUGCCAGCUCCUAGAGACAGCGAAUAACCCUCGCCAGUGAACAGAACUUCCAAACGCAAACCGACCAAGCCAGCCCGUACCGCCAACCACCUUCUUUAUGGGACUCUACUCUGCGAGCCACUACUCCAGAUGCUCCAAUCACCCCAGGGCCAGCAAUAUCAGCCUGCUAACACUACUCAAAAAAGCCAGUCUUAAGUCUGCUUACUCUGCCUUUCCUGUUCUUUCUCACAGAACCCACAAGAAAAUCUCUUGCUCAAGGCUCGCUGCCUUUCCCUCUGCCUCCCGACUGACCCUGAUCUUCCUUGCUUGGUCCAGGGUACGGCACGCCCAUUUUGCUUGGGUUCUCUGAGUAACAAACUACCUUUUCAAUUCAGUCUUCUCAGCCAUACCUAAAUAAUAAUGAAAUCUCUAUUCUAAAAUGCCCCAGUUGUCUAACCCAAACAAAGAGUAAAUGUGCUGGGGGAAAAUAACCUCCCCUGGAGCUUCCGUAACCGACAGUUUCCAGACAGCACAAGUAGCUGGCAGCCUGAAGAGGCGUGGAGACCUGACUCCUACGGUGCUACGCUCGGGAGUAACGAUGCGCUGGAUGAGAUGAGCAGCAGGUUGGACUCACAAGAAAGAAGAACAAAUGAAAUUGAAGACAGCGUCACAGAAAAUACCCGACUGAAGCACACAGAGAAAAAAUAAGGGAAGAAAUGGCACAGUCUAGAGACACCUGGGACCCAAUCUAAAGAUUAAUCAGCAAAUAACUGGAAUCUCAGGGCACGGAUGAAAAAGUCAAGAGAGGCAAUAUUUGAAAAGACAAUGGCCACAACUUUUAAAAACCGGGUUGCUGAACGUGCCGGAGGAGAGCAGCCCCUUGAGGCUUCCCCGCAGCGCCAUUACUGAUCUGAAUCUGAGAAUCUGAAUUGCACAACUCUCUCCCUCAAUCUCGCUUGCCGCCCCUCUGGAAAUGGACCUGGGGCCUUUCCUCUGAGCUACAGCAGUAACUUUAAAACUUUUUCUUAGUGUUGAGCAGGGUCUUACUAAGUUCUUCAGGCUGGGUACAAUUCUUAUAUUACAUACACCUUUGUAACUACUGUACUUGUAACUCAGUAUGUCUUCAAAUAUGCAUAAAAUUAAAGAUCACUAUUUUUCCUCCUUA